UUGAGCCGUAUGCUCCUAAAGGCGCACGUACGGUUCUUAGGGGGCAGCAGCGCAGCAAUGCACUGCUGCUACCCGAC
rnacentral:ncRNA from 1 species